UAGGGAAUCUUCCGCAAUGGACGCAAGUCUGACGGAGCAACGCCGCGUGAGUGAAGAAGGUUUUCGGAUCGUAAAACUCUGUUGUUAGAGAAGAACAAGUGCUAGAGUAACUGUUAGCGCCUUGACGGUAUCUAACCAGAAAGCCACGGCUAACUACGUGCCAGCAGCCGCGGUAAUACGUAGGUGGCAAGCGUUGUCCGGAUUUAUUGGGCGUAAAGCGAGCGCAGGCGGUUCCUUAAGUCUGAUGUGAAAGCCCCCGGCUCAACCGGGGAGGGUCAUUGGAAACUGGGGAACUUGAGUGCAGAAGAGGAGAGUGGAAUUCCAUGUGUAGCGGUGAAAUGCGUAGAUAUAUGGAGGAACACCAGUGGCGAAGGCGACUCUCUGGUCUGUAACUGACGCUGAGGCUCGAAAGCGUGGGUAGCAAACAGGAUUAGAUACCCUGGUAGUCCACGCCGUAAACGAUGAGCGCUAAGUGUUGGAGGGUUUCCGCCCUUCAGUGCUGCAGUUAACGCAUUAAGCACUCCGCCUGGGGAGUACGACCGCAAGGUUG
rnacentral:rRNA from 1 species